GACGAACGCUGGCGGCGUGCUUAACACAUGCAAGUCGAACGGAAAGGCCCUGCUUGCAGGGUACUCGAGUGGCGAACGGGUGAGUAACACGUGGGUGAUCUGCCCUGCACUUCGGGAUAAGCCUGGGAAACUGGGUCUAAUACCGGAUAGGAGCCAUUUUUAGUGUGAUGGUUGGAAAGUUUUUUCGGUGUAGGAUGAGCUCGCGGCCUAUCAGCUUGUUGGUGGGGUAAUGGCCUACCAAGGCGGCGACGGGUAGCCGGCCUGAGGGGGUGGACGGCCACAUUGGGACUGAGAUACGGCCCAGACUCCUACGGGAGGCAGCAGUGGGGAAUAUUGCACAAUGGGCGCCAGCCUGAUGCAGCGACGCCGCGUGGGGGAUGACGGCCUUCGGGUUGUAAACUCCUUUCGCUAGGGACGAAGCUUUUUGUGACGGUACCUAGAUAAGAAGCACCAGCUAACUACGUG
rnacentral:rRNA from 1 species